CAAAAAAUAGUUUAUACAAAACAAUAGAUUUGGGUUCUAUAAAAAUUAGCAAUUUUUUUGA
rnacentral:tRNA from 4 species